GACGAACGCUGGCGGCGUGCUUAACACAUGCAAGUCGAACGGAAAGGCCCUGCUUUUGUGGGGUGCUCGAGUGGCGAACGGGUGAGUAACACGUGAGUAACCUGCCCUUGACUUUGGGAUAACUUCAGGAAACUGGGGCUAAUACCGGAUAGGAGCUCCUGCUGCAUGGUGGGGGUUGGAAAGUUUCGGCGGUUGGGGAUGGACUCGCGGCUUAUCAGCUUGUUGGUGGGGUAGUGGCUUACCAAGGCUUUGACGGGUAGCCGGCCUGAGAGGGUGACCGGCCACAUUGGGACUGAGAUACGGCCCAGACUCCUACGGGAGGCAGCAGUGGGGAAUAUUGCACAAUGGGCGGAAGCCUGAUGCAGCAACGCCGCGUGCGGGAUGACGGCCUUCUGGUUGUAAACCGCUUUCGCCUGUGACGAAGCGUGAGUGACGGUAAUGGGUAAAGAAGCACCGGCUAGCUACGUG
rnacentral:rRNA from 1 species